GCAGCACAGCGCAGCGCUCCUGGAGAGGCUGUGGGUUCGUGGCAUCCGCGCCGCGGCCGCAAGUAUAGCAGGUUUCGUACCUGGUGUUCAUCGCCGUUAAGUCAUCGCUGCUGCCACCCAGGCACGGCUCUCUAUGCCGCCGCUCCCUCCACCCUCUAGGCACUGCCUGCCGUAAGAAUUUUAACUGCGACACUCGCUUCAGCAGGAGAUUUUAUUGGCUGCAGACACACGCAGCAUCUUCUUGCGCUCCUCCUUGAGGUGGAUGGGCAGCUAGCUGGAGAUGACACAGGAUGAUGCGCAUCUUUCGCACGCUGGCUCCAAGAUCUCCGCUGCCAGAUGCAGCAACAAAGCUUCUUUGUACAGACAGCCCUGGACACACUUCCAGCAGCAAUUCUUCUUGCAGGAACUGGUGCAAGAACAGGAUUUAUUCGUGGCACAGGAGCAGUUGGUGUCCACUGGGAGUGGAGGCAGAAGAGAGACCAGAGCGGGUAUGUUAGGAGAGAAAGCAGUGACUUCAACAGAAGUGGAGUAAAUAAAGAUGAUCACAGAACUUGGAAGCUGACGAAAUUAAUUUUGGAAAAGAGCUGGCUUGGAGCAUGACAGAAGAAUUCGAUGGAAAGAGUGCUGGGAGCCCAACUCAAGACUGAUGUGUGCUUGGCAGGCAGUCUACCCCCGAUCUCAGUCCUCCAGCCUUUCGGCCUUUUUUCCUUUUUGGAGACAGAAUUGCAUCAUAUGGCAUCCUACACAGUCCUGCCUCAGUCUCUGCAGUGCUGGGAUUGUAGGCCUAUGCCACCUAGCCUUUCUACAAUACAAACAAAUAUGAAAAGAAGAGGGACUUCUUUGGAAAGGAGUACAGGGACUAUGGAAGAGAUGAAAAGAUAAUAUUGUCAGAAAUUAUGCCGCUUUUGAAGAGAUAAACUGAACUCUUUUGAUUCUGUGAGGUUAUUAAAGAAUAUUAAUUUUCAAAUCACGGUAAAAUCUUGAUUCAGCAACACAUGAGGAUAAUCAUUGUGUCCAUGGAAACCUUGGGAAGCAGUUGAAAGCCUGGGUUGGAAGGAACAGAGCCAGUUGGCCAUGGACUGAAACUUUUGGAACUCUGGCUGAGCUUUUUAAAGAUGGCUAUUCUGAAUUCUUCACAGAUGGCACAGUGUCAGAAUCAUGUGUGGCCUCCUGCUGCCUGAACCAUGCCGCUAAGACAGUUGCCCACUGUGCAGUUUCACACCAUCUGCAGAGAGCAACACUGCAGAGCCUUUGGGAGAGCCUUGCCAGUCGCUGAAAGCCUGGCUGACUGCCAAGCCUUGCACUGUAGACUGAAAAUUGCUCUCUUUGCUGAGCUCAGUACUAACACUUAGAUCUUCAUGGUCUCCUGGGAGACCAUGUCAGCUGCUGUUCAGUGAGAUAAAUUUGGAUCAGCUGAAGAUAUGUACUCUCUAUGCCUUCCUUGACUGUCAGCUAAACAGUGUGCACUCCUGGCUUAGUACAGCCUUGGCUGCUGAGAGCCCCAUUCCUCCCCUGUGCUCUUCAUUGUCCUCAUGAUCUGGCUUUCAUCAUCCAUUAUACUCCUAACACUGGGAGUGAAGUGUCAUUGAAGAAUGUUCAUCAGGCACUACCUCAAAGGGCUGGAGAUGAUUGGUGAAUGCUUUGAUUCUUCAUUCCUCCUAGGACACAUAUCAAGCCCCCAGAAUUUCUCUCUAUCCAGUUGCACCAGUGUGAGGAACUUGACGGUGUCAGGAAAGUGAAACUGCUUCUCUGCUCCAUAUAAAUGUCUGUGCAGAUGCAAAGCCAUGCAUUACAUGGUAGCUCACCUUUAAUCCUAGCACUCAGGAGACAGAGGCAGGAGGAUCUCUCCGAGCUCAAGGCCAGCCUGGUCUUCACAGUGAGUUCCAGGACAGCCAAGGCUACACAGGAAUCCUGUGUACAGGUCCUUGGUAUUGCACUCCUCUCUAUAAACACAACUUGCUUUUAGAAUGUGUGGUUGUUAAGUUGUUCUGUGAAGGAUGGAUAAAGGCUAGCUCACUACUAUACCCGUCAGCUUGCUCCUGUCACUUCUUCUCACCUUUGAGCACUUAGCAUCCCUCUCCGUGUUGUCUUUGCUGAAAUGCUUGCUAAGGCGAAGCUCCUCUGUAGCUGUCCUCUAGCCCCAGCCAUGAUUCUUUCAAGAUUUUUCUUUGGCCUUCUGUAAUUUGAAUAUGAUGAAUGUUUUUAUUUACUACUUCAUUUUGUAUUUUGAAUCUUUUUUAAACCGUGCCAGGUUCUCUAGGCUCCUGGUUCUGAUAUGAAUUGAGCGAUUAUCUUAGGCCCUUGUGUUUCAAAUCUUUCUUUCUUUCUUUCUUUCUUUCUUUCUUUCUUUCUUUCUUUCUUUUUUUUUUUUUUUUUUUUUUUUUUUUUUUUGAGACAGGGUUUCUCUGUAUAGCUCUGGCUGUCCUGGAACUCACCCGGUAGAUCAGGCUGUCCUUGAACUCAGAAAUCCGCCUGCCUCUGCCUCCCAAGUGCUGGAAUUAAAGUCAUGUGCCACCACUGCCCGGCUUACUCAAAUAUUUCCUUUUUUUUUUUUCAGUCCUCUCUAGUGAUCUCAUUAUACAUGUGUAUAUUCUCUAGUUGUCCCAGUUAUAUGAUGUUCUUCUCUCUCUCUCUCUCUUCCCCCCACCCUGUGUGUGUGUGCGCGCGCGUGCAUGCGCGCGUGCAUGUACCCAAGGAAACUAGAAAAGGACUUCAACUCCUUGACAAAGGAGGUACAAGCAUUUGUCAGCCACCUGAUACAGGUAGCAGAAUCUAAACUCUGAUCCACAUUAUUAAGCAGCAAGUGCUGUUACCUGCUAAACUAUCUCGCUGAAAUUUAUCUCUUAGAAAGUUUCUAAUAUAUUAUCACUGUCAGGGAUUCUUUGGCUUGGUUCAGUCUGCUAAUAAGCUUAGGAAAGGCAAUUUUCAUUUUGUUACAAUAUUUUUGAUCUGUAGCUUUUGUUAUUCUUGUUCAUUUUUCAAACCAGGGUUUCUCCACGGCUAUACUGGAACUCUCUGUAGACUAGGCUGGCCUCAAACUCUCAAAUAUCUCACUGCCUCUGCCUCCCAUGUUCUGGGAUUAUAUCCCUCCACUGCCCAACAGCAUUUAUUUUAUUCUUAAGAUUUGUUUUUCCCUGCUCGUUUGUUUGUUUGUCUGUUUGUUUGGUAUGGUCAUUUGUUUGUUUGUUUUGAUGUAUUUGAACUUGCUAUCUUUAUGUGAGGAUAAGCCUAAGUGUGUAAUAUUUCUGUACUCAUCUCCCAAAUGCUGAAAUGUAGACACGAACCACCACACACUAGGUUUGUUUGGUUUUCUUUUGCAUGAAUUUAUUGUAUUGUGUACAGUACUGGUACCAAAGGAGUCCAUCACAUUCUCUAGAACUUGAAUUACAGAUGGUUGUGAGUUGUCACAUGGUGCUGAGAAUUAAACUUGAUCUUCUUUUUUAAAUUUAAAUUUCUUCACUUACAUUUAAAAUGUUAUCUGAAAAGUCCCCCAUUACCCCCCCCCUCACUACCCUACCUACCCACUCCCACUACUUGGCCCCGGUGUUCCCUGUACUGAGGCAUAUAAAGUUUGCAAGACCAAGGAGCCUCUCUUCCCAAUGAUGGCCGACUAGGCCAUCUUCUACAUAUGCAACUAGAGACACAAGCUCUGGGGGUACUGGUUAGUUCAUAAUGUUAUUCCACCUAUAGGGUUGCAGACCCCUUCAGCUCCUUGAUUACUUUCUCUAGCUCCUCCAUUGGGGGCCCUGUGUUCUAAACUUGAUCUUCUGAAGAGUAACCACUAUUGAUUUUAACUGCUAAGUCAUGUCUCCAGUCCCAAAAGAGGUUUUUUUGUUUGUUUGUUUUUUAUUACUGUGAUGAUCCUAUAAUGAAGAAGAGAAUGCCGGUUUGUUUAUGUGCUUGUUUGUUUUUUGAGACAGGGUUUCACUGUGUGUCCUUGGCUGCCCUGGAAUUUAAGCAUCAGACUGGCCUUGAUCUCACAGAGAUCUGCCUACUUUUGCGCUGAGAUUAAAGGUCUGCACUAACACCUCCCGGCCAGAUGUCUCUUUAACAGACUGACUUUACUUCCUCACGAGUAUUAUGAUGGUUUCUUCCUGUCCUGUGAAGAAUGCUAUUGGUUUAGGGUUUGGUUUGUGGAAUUUUUGUUUUCUGGUUUUUUGUUAUUUUUCCCCCCCUAAAUAUCAUGCUGUCUUAUUCUUUGGU
ensembl:lincRNA Ftx Ftx transcript, Xist regulator (non-protein coding)